UGCGUAGGCGGAUUAAUAAGUCAGUGGUGAAAUCUCUCGGCUCAACCGGGAAACUGCCAUUGAUACUGUUAAUCUUGAGUUCGGUUGAGGUAGGCGGAAUGUGUAAUGUAGCGGUGAAAUGCUUAGAUAUUACACAGAACACCAAUUGCGUAGGCAGCUUACUAGAACGACACUGACGCUGAGGCACGAAAGCGUGGGUAGCGAACAGGAUUAGAUACCCUGGUAGUC
rnacentral:rRNA from 1 species